rnacentral:tmRNA from 1 species
GGGGUUGUAAUGGUUUCGACAGGUUUACGUUUGAUUCAGGCUGCAGUGGAGCGGUGACCUAAUCACUACUUAAAUUUAAACGCUAACACAAAUAGAGGCUACGCGUUCGCCUAAAGAACGCCCUGCUGCAAUCAGCGCUUGACGCGCCGCAGCACUCCGGUCAGUGAAUUCGCCGUUUGGAACUGACUGCGUAUCUAAAGCGGAUAAGGAGAACCUGACGUCUGUAAGGCAAUCCCGACAAUCUCACAGACAGAUUCAUCAGACGGUUAGCUCACUGACAUGUCUGAUGUCUUAUCCAACAGUGAGAUAAACUGUAGGCGCCUGAAUGUGGGACGACUCUUGGACAGGGGUUCGACUCCCCUCAGCUCCACU